rnacentral:rRNA from 1 species
AGUGAACGCUGGCGGUAGGCCUAACACAUGCAAGUCGAACGGCAGCACAGUAAGAGCUUGCUCUUACGGGUGGCGAGUGGCGGACGGGUGAGGAAUACAUCGGAAUCUACUUUUUCGUGGGGGAUAACGUAGGGAAACUUACGCUAAUACCGCAUACGACCUACGGGUGAAAGCAGGGGAUCUUCGGACCUUGCGCGAUUGAAUGAGCCGAUGUCGGAUUAGCUAGUUGGCGGGGUAAAGGCCUACCAAGGCGACGAUCCGUAGCUGGUCUGAGAGGAUGAUCAGCCACACUGGAACUGAGACACGGUCCAGACUCCUACGGGAGGCAGCAGUGGGGAAUAUUGGACAAUGGGCGCAAGCCUGAUCCAGCCAUACCGCGUGGGUGAAGAAGGCCUUCGGGUUGUAAAGCCCUUUUGUUGGGAAAGAAAAGCAGCAGGUUAAUACCCUGCUGUUCUGACGGUACCCAAAGAAUAAGCACCGGCUAACUUCGUG